GAUGAACGCUGGCGGCGUGCCUAAUACAUGCAAGUCGAGCGAACAGACUAGGAUUUUGCUCCUCUUACGUUAGCCGCGGACGUGUGAGUAACACGUGUAUCACCUACCUAUAAGACUGGGAUAACCUCGGGAAACCGGAGCUAAUACCGGAUAAUAUAUUGCACCGUAUGGUUCACUAGUUAAAGACGGUUUUGCUGUCUCUUAUCGAUGGUUCCGCGCCGCAUUAGCUAGUUGGUAAGUUAACGGCGUACCAAGGCGACGAUGCGUAGCCGACCUGAGAGGGUGAUCGGCCACACUGGAACUGAGACACGGUCAAGAAGCCUAAGGGAGGCAGCAGUAGGGAAUCUGCAGAAAUGGGAGAAAGCCUGACGGAGCAAAGACGCGUGAGUGAGGAAGGUGUUGGGAACGUAAAAAUCUAUUAUUAGGGAAGAACAAAUGUGUAAGUAACUAUACACGUCUUGACGGUACCUAAUCAGAAAGCCACGGCUAACUACGUG
rnacentral:rRNA from 1 species